ACGACGCAAAAGAAAAGCUUCCUCAGUCCCACAGAAAAGGCGCUUAAUGCUAUUUGUCGUCCAAGUUUAAUCUUCCUCCGUCUCAAGUUUCAUGUGUUCAGUAUGUUGUGCACCUAUUCUAGUUCUUUUACUCAUCAACUUGCAUAAUGAAUAGCUUAACCCAAGUGAAUAAUGUAUUUGAUUAUUUUGCCGUGUGUGGUCUGGAUUCGAUGCGAGGCUUAGUCCCCAAUAAUGAACAUAAUGCCCUCUCAGGCCCUCUAGAAGCUACCUAUUGCCCGCAAGUUUUAGCACACUAUCCAGAAAAUGUUGCCUGGAAUCCAUUUGAUGGUUCUGCUGUCACCACGCUAUGUAUGCCAUCAGGAGUUCAUUUCUCUUGUGUUCCAAAAGAGUCUCAUGAUACUAACAAAGAACCUCACUUCCAUCCAUUCAUUAUAACCAAGGAAAAUGGAUCCAAAGUGUAUGGGUUUUCCUUAGUCUUUUAUGAAGAAGUGGUUGAUGAUUCAAUCAUCAAUGCAAUCAGCUCCCUGCAGAAGAUGCAUGCAGCUCAAAUUGUUGAGAUUGCACCCAGAUCCAAUUUGGAAGUCUUUGAAGAUCCAACUACUAGCUCAAAGUCCCUACCUAGGCAUUUUAAGGUCAACAGUACUCGGCUGUACGAUAAAGCCAAGAGUACAGCAAAAUUCGAUGUCCUUCGCGAUUCCUUAUUAGUUGCCAAGUGCGUCUGUCUUAUCGGACAGCACCCCCUCGUUGAUGCCGCUAAGAAUUUCCUCAUCAAUUUCUACAGAUUGGCUGUGCAUUCCUCCGAGCUAUCUACUCUGGGUGACCACCCUUUGUCUAUGCUUAGUCCAGAAUCAUAUAUCCAUUAUUUGUUGUUCUCCGUUCCUCCACCAAGUCCUAAUCAGUGCAUAGUCAUUCCCAACGUUCCCAAUCUGGAGUGGACGCAGUCGUCGACCCUUACGAGCUCUACCCUUAUCUUUCAACGUCCAUCCGUGCACUCUGAACUUCCGCUGUUCGAGUACGAGAUCGUUCAAGUCAUUGAUCUUCUUGGGAUUGAUCAUCUUAUACAGUUAUGGACUUGUUUACUGCUUGAGAGCCAAGUGCUUAUCUAUUCUCAAGAUUUCAGUCGAUUGAUGUUAGUAGCCGAAUCCCUGACAACACUUUUAUUUCCAUUCUCUUGGCCCCAUGUCUACGUUCCCAUCUUACCGGCAGCCAUGUACAACUUCUUGGAUGCCCCGGUACCUUUCCUGAUGGGAUUACGGUCACUUCCUUCUGACGACGCUCGCAUUCCCUCAGAGGCAAACUUGUGCAUGGUGGAUAUUGAUAAUGAUAGAAUUACCAUUCCGGAAGAUUUACCGUCGUUCCCACAACACAGGGAGUUAGCCGACGAGUUAAGAGAGGUGCUCACAAAGUUGCAACAGAACCCAAGUACUACAAGCUCGUCCUCCGCGCAAAAGAAAUCAGCACCAAACGCUACGAUACAAUCGUCAUCUUCGAAUAAGCAUCGCCAGUCGUGGUCUCCGAUGGCGUUAGCCAGUGGCUCAAACGCAUCGGUUCUCGAACGCUCGGAAGCUUUUCAACGGAUUUCGGCUAUAGCGAAACGCACUGGUGUUUUUAACGAAGAUGCCAAAACUGGUUCGAUAAACGGUGAUAUGGAAAAACAACCCGUCACGGUUUCCAGCGAUUUGGAACGUUAUUUACGAGUGCAAAUACUCAACAAUGCUAUCCGCGAGAUUUUCUUGAAUCAAUUUGCUCACAUGUUUUCUGUUUACGAAUACUUCUUUAAUCAACCUAAUCAGGAUAUGGAUUCGUGGUUAUCAAAUAGAGACCAAGUACAUCCGUUUGAUAAAACUACGUUUCUCUCGGAUCAGCCUGGACCGCAUCUCCGGUUCAUGUCAUCUUUCUUGGAAAGUCAAAUGUUUGCUAGCUUCAUUGAUGCCAAAGUUUUGGCCAAUUAUGGCCAAUAUAGUCACUCAGUUCGCGUAUUGGACGCUCGUAUCAAACUCUUGAAGGAUGGUUACGGUGAUUCCAUGGUCCGAACGCCGGGCUAUGAACCGUGCACUUGGUACGAACAGACGGCUGCGUUGUUGGAACGACGUCUUCUGAAACCGUUGAUGAAUGUAGUUACGCCCAAUGAAAUUCUUACCAAUAUGGACGAGCGGCCAAUUGUUAAAAAACAAAGAACCAAUAAGUUUUAUCCAAGUUUUCCCGUUCUCAAUAAUUCGAUGCUGAGCACUGCUCCUUGUUACGAAACCAUUGGCAGGAAGAAAGGAGAGAAAUCGCGGCGGAAGGAGAAGCCGACACUACAGAAAUCCUACUCUAUCGGGUUCGAAUCAAGCGGGAUAGCUGAAACGAUACGUGAUAGUAAUAACCUUGUGCCGGCAGUGCCGAUUGUUCCGCGGCCGGCUGUGAUUGCCCAGGGCAACUGGAAAUUCGUCGAACAACUUCUACAAGAAUGCAAAACCAAAACCAAGCGUUUAUUGGUGGGUAAAAUGGGCAGUGAAGCUUUCGAAUUAGGUCAUGGGCAAGUAUCAGUCUCUGGUGUCGAAGAUAACACGUUGAUUGCUGGACUAUGUGAUCUGCUAGAGCGCGUCUGGGCACAUGGAUUGCAAACUAAACAAGGUAAAUCGGCACUGUGGUCGCAUAUCCUACAUUAUCACGAUCUGAAAACAGCCCCUGCGGUCAGUAAGCCCGUCAAAGCCUCUAGUCAAGCUCCAGCUUAUGCAUUUGUCACGUUGAGGAAAAGAUUACGGAAUCUUUCAGCGCCGUCGUACGAUGGCGAUGGUGCAGCCAAUAGAAGUCGCUCUAGCAAUUCGAUCGAUAACAAUCGUGCUGGCAAUCCUCCGAAUCGGAUGAAACCAUUACCGGAAUCUUUGAUCUUUGAUAUGAGGAACGUUCAAAACAUGGCGGAUAUAAAAACCCAUUUGGGUUAUGCGCGCGCGUGGGUUCGGUUAUGCUUAGAGAAAAAGCUGCUCUACGUGCAUUUAACCACUCUCUUGUCGGAAGAAAAUCUCUUAAGGACUCUGUACAAACGCUACGCUUUUCUGCGUUGCGAAGACGAGCGCAACCUAUUCUUGACAUACCUAUUAACACUCAACGCUGCGGACUAUCAUUCUUUUACACAUACAUAUACGAGCACUGUGAUAACGUACCGUGUGUUGAUCGUCCAAAGUCGCCAGUCAAGCAUGUCAACAUGCCGGCCUUACCUCUUGCUAAGCGGGACGUUGGCUGACACUCAGGCCCUUUACUUUGCAAACGACCGUCUGGAACUUCUCUUUCAGCAUAAAAAUAUUGGAAUACUCACGACUUUGCGAAUUGGACUUGAAGAUCAAAUCGGCAAUAGUCGUUGGUUGAUUGACCAUAUCAUUGUACGGAAUGAAAUUACUGGCCGGGGCUUCAAAUUUCCAUGUGGCCGUUGGCUCGGUAAAGACAUUGAGGAUGGUUCCACAGAGCGUCUGCUAGUCGCUACGCAAUACGACUGCAGUACAAUGAGUGGAUCUGAUUUAGGAUCCAUGGAUCCUUCAACUCAUGUUAAUGGUUCGCCAGCCCAUAAUUCGAACGUACCGAUUGGGUCUCGUACUCGGUCACCGAGUGCGACUCGGACAGAAAGUUCACUCACCAGCUCCCUUACAAAUUUGGCCGGAAAUCUCAAUAUCAACCUGAAAGGCCCUGGCACACGUCGCAAAUUUACAGAAACGGAAAUGCAGUGUUUGCUGGGCGAGGCUGUGAAUAAUCUUAUCAAGUAUUACCUCGAGCCUACGGGAGAACGAGGUAACGUUACGGCGCUGCUUUGCGGAGAGUCAGGACUGGUUCCUUGCCUAGAACUGGUCCUGCACCAUGGAUUUCGUUCUUCUAGAAUUUUCAGCCGCAAUCUUUUCUUAUGGGACUAUUUGCUGCAAGUUCGGGAUUGUUAUACGCAAGACCCACGUUCGGUAACGAGCGUUCGAGACUAUGCGGACCCCUCAUCUGAUCGACCCGCUCGCCGCUGGUUGUGCGAUAUCAUCGAAAAGAUUCAACAUUACGGACAUUCAUUAGGAAAGCGGGAUAAGCUACAAUUAUUCCUCUGUCUUGCUGCAAGAGACCGGAUGCUCCAUCGGAUUAUUAGUCCACUGGCGUCUUGUUCUUCUACUUUAACACACUACGAUGAAAACUCGUAUUUGAGGGACAAGCGAUUACGCGAUUACCUACAACCUCUCUUGCAAACCCUAAGCGAAGAGAAGGUGAAAAUCAUUCUCGAGGCAUCCAUUACGCGGGGCAUCGACUAGAGUUUUAAUGAAUAACAAACUAUUCCUUAAGAGAAAUCUACGAUACAUUUUAUACUCGUCGAAAACGUAACACUCCAAUGUAAACCAGUUGCAGAAAAACCUUGUGGACUACGCACGGGAGCUUAUCUUGUGCAGGACAUUUUCUCGAUGUUGCAUCAUAGCUGGUUGCAGUAAAGGACUGACUCAUCGUUCCGAGGCCUGGAAACAACCGCGCUUGCCAUAAAGUGGAAGUUGGAUGCUCUAAUGUUGUACCUUUCCAGCCACGACUUUGCUCUACUCUCCCUUUCAGAUCGUCAUCUAUUCGGAAGGCUAUCGUGACAUAGAGAACCGAAUUUUCUUGCUUCACUGCUGCCGUAUGAAACAUCCAACAUGAUGGAAUUACUUGAAUUAUCGGAUCGUCAAUCACGCAAUGGCUGACAAUCGUCUGUCUCUCACAAACAACAGGAACAUUUACUAUGCAGCUAUCCAUAACGCUGCCUAUCAUACUCUCGACAUCCGCUUCGAGACAAGAAGUAGUUACAAUGCCUUGAAUUCCUGAUGGUUCGCGGCAGAAUGAUUGAGCGAUCGGUUUCAUCGCCAAGGUUUGGAAUAGCUCUGAGGUAGGGUUCAAGUUUUCUAAGUCUAUAAAUAGUUUGCAUUUAGAUUUUGGCCGCGUAUGGAUAAGUAAACACAAACUUACAUUCUGGCAUUGUUCCUAAAUGGUAGAAAUGUGAUUGCUCAAGCACCAUAAUAUUCAACGGUGUUUCUCCAAAAUGACUAGCUAUUUUCCCUUUGAUUGUUGAUGAAUCAGAUGUGCUUUUCAAGUAUAGUUUUUCUUCAGCUGGACGAGAGCCCAUACAUGCUAGAAAAUCUCCAUAUAUACACGUUUCAGUACGGUAUAGGUCGCCGUUUUCCUCUGCGAAUGUGACCAUUUUCUUCACUAGCUCCGGCCCGCACCAAAACAUGCUGUCCGUGUACACUCUUUCCUCUCCGUCCCCUUCGUAAAAUAUGGAUCUAAGCUACGACGAACCAUCAUUUGGAAUAUCUGUGAUGAUAACUUCUUACCCAAUUUUACUAAGGCUUUUCUCAUUUUCAUUGUAGAAUAAUUAGGUUUCUGCAAAACUUCUAGACAACUGGUCAGCCAACAGUUUUCGUCCCUUUUUGAAGACUCAGAAAUACUAUGAUUGUCUGGCUACCUAUAGCUAUUGAAGAUGGAUGGGCAAUGGCUACAAUUCCAUCCUCAGUCAAUGGAUUUGACUUUUCUACAGUACUUUCAAGGCCUACAGAAUGAAAAGCAAUAAGUUUCAAUGUCAUCAGAUGCACAAAUAAAUAUUCCUCCAUUUUUCAUCAGUUUGAGGAAAGGUGACGUUAGAAUUAUUUUCAAAUUCAGAAUUGUUAUUGCCUUUCCUUCAAUUUCUAGUGGCAAAGGACAGAAGAGCUUGCCUGUGCAGCUUAGAUUUGGCAAUCUCUUGCUAGAGCCCCCUUUUAUGAUCUUUGAGCUGCUUUAAGAUAUGGAAGGUAGAUCCUCCUGACCCCAAGAUGGACCCAGGGCAAUCAGCAAUCACCAAAUAUUUUGGUGCUCCUGCAGAGAUAACUAGACAGUCCCAAAAAUCAGCCUUUUCCUCUAAAAUGGCUUUUGUUGAAGUUUUGUGCUAAGCGAACCAUGUAUUUCUGUAUCUGUUCCAUUCUUGCGACUGUCACAUCUUACAGCAAAUAUGCUGCUGACAACCUAUUCAAAACAAGAACGAUUGCAGAGACCCCUGGCAUCUAGCGCACGAAAAGGCUCCUAUGCUUACUGAUAAUGACGAGAAACAAAUCUGAUAGCCUAACGAGGUGGCAAAAUCCCUACCAACAGGCAACCAGACCAACAGAUGCUCCACCAAACUAACCAAAUUUCAGGCUAAAUCCUGGACCUAGAAGGUUAGCUCUGCGAUCAACGUGUGCGGCACCCAUGUGAAACCCUGUGUUGGCGUCGACGUCUACUUCUUCAUUCAAUUGUUUGUAUGCUCGACCACCUGAUGGAGGUUUUGGACUCUGUGCUUUACGGGCUCCAUUCGACUCACUUUUUGCAGGCCAAGUUGGGAGCAUGGAUGGGUGUAUAGGAAAAGGAGGCUCUUUCAAAUAGGUAUGGUUCAACGCUUCUUCAGCAGAAAUGCGCUUUGCAGGAUCGUACGUCAAAAAUCUAAACGCAGAAGAACAAAAACAAAUAUCUUAAUGUUGUAAUUAAGAAACUAAAGAAAGAAAAGAAAUAAAAGUACUUUUGCAUUAA